GAUGAACGCUGGCGGCGUGCCUAAUACAUGCAAGUCGAGCGAACAGACGAGGAGCUUGCUCCUCUGACGUUAGCGGCGGACGGGUGAGUAACACGUGGAUAACCUACCUAUAAGACUGGGAUAACUUCGGGAAACCGGAGCUAAUACCGGAUAAUAUAUUGAACCGCAUGGUUCAAUAGUGAAAGACGGUUUUGCUGUCACUUAUAGAUGGAUCCGCGCCGCAUUAGCUAGUUGGUAAGGUAACGGCUUACCAAGGCAACGAUGCGUAGCCGACCUGAGAGGGUGAUCGGACACACUGGAACUGAGACACGGUCCAGACUCCUACGGGAGGCAGCAGUAGGGAAUCUUCCGCAAUGGGCGAAAGCCUGACGGAGCAACGCCGCGUGAGUGAUGAAGGUCUUCGGAUCGUAAAACUCUGUUAUUAGGGAAGAACAAAUGUGUAAGUAACUGUGCACAUCUUGACGGUACCUAAUCAGAAAGCCACGGCUAACUACGUG
rnacentral:rRNA from 1 species